GGCUCCCAGGGGUCAGGGGCUCCAGCACACUAGUUUUCUCUUCCUCAAAUCAGUCAAGCUCUUUCCACUUCAGGGCCUUUGUGUCUGCCGACUCCUCUCUCCAGAACACUUCUCCCUGAUCUUCAAAUGCCUGGCUCUUUCUUAUCCAGAUGCCAGCUCCUCAGAAGUCUGCUCUGGUCAUCGCACCUGCUCUCCUGUCCCCAGCCUGCUCCCUCACUUCGCCAUGUUACUCCUUCACAGGUGCGCAGCCCUGACUUUCACCUGGAGCUUCUGAAGAUGCGGCGCCAGCUGCAAGCCCUUCUCUGGAGGAAGAGGCAGCUUCCGGGUGUCUCCAGGAUAUUUGCCUCAAGCCUCACACCUGCUGGGUGAGAAUGACCAAAGGCAAAACUGAUGCCCUGGAACACACACUGGACAAAUUCAGGGCUCCUUCCUGGCCCCUGCAAGAUUAGCCAGCAGGCCCAAGACUGGAUACAGCUGCUGGGCAAACUUACACCAUUCGAUGACUUUAAAAAUAUUCAAGAGCAAGCAAAGCACUGUAAUCAGUGAUAAGAGCAUAGCAGUCACCCCCACAGGCCAGGUGGAAGCCUCGUCACCACUUACUCACUGUGUGACCUUGGGCAGUUUAAUUAACAUCUCUAAGCCUCAAAGUCCCAUGUCUGAAAUGCAGAUCCUGAUAGCACCUACCUCAGAGGUUUGUGGUGAGGAUUAAAUGAUAAUCCAUGAAAAAUGCCUGGCCUAAUAAACA
rnacentral:lncRNA from 10 species